rnacentral:rRNA from 1 species
AUUGAACGCUGGCGGCAGGCCUAACACAUGCAAGUCGAGCGGCAGCGGGAAAGUAGCUUGCUACUUUUGCCGGCGAGCGGCGGACGGGGGAGUAAUGCUUGGAAAAUUGCCCAGUGGAGGGGGAUAACAGUUGGAAACGACUGCUAAUACCCCAUAGGCCCUAGGGGGGAAAGAAGGGGACCUCCGGGCCUGGCGCGAUUGGGUAGGCCCAGGGGGGAUUAGCUAGUUGGUGAGGUAAUGGCUCACCAAGGCGACGAUCCGUAGCUGGUCUGAGAGGAUGAUCAGCCACACUGGAACUGAGACACGGUCCAGACUCCUACGGGAGGCAGCAGUGGGGAAUAUUGCACAAUGGGGGAAACCCUGAUGCAGCCAUGCCGCGUGUGUGAAGAAGGCCUUCGGGUUGUAAAGCACUUUCAGCGAGGAGGAAAGGUUGAUACCUAAUACGUAUCAACUGUGACGUUACUCGCAGAAGAAGCACCGGCUAACUCCGUGCCAGCAGCCGCCGUAA